AUGACCCUGAAGGAUACUCCUUACCCAUUGAUGACCACACAGACAGCACAGCCCAUGACAUGGGGACAAGGGGAGAAGACAACCCAGAAGGCUAAAAGGAUGAUAUCUGAGGGUCUGAUCAGUUCCCAGGAGUUGCAACACUUUCUGACUUUAUUGAAAAACACUAUUUACACAUUCAGGAAACUCAAAGAACUCUAAGUAAAAUAACAAUGAAGAGAACAACAAUCAGACAUAUCAUAGGGUAAGUGUAAAAAGCCAAAAACAAAGAGAAAAUUAUGAGAGCAGCAUGAGAAAACUUACUUGUCAUUUACAAGGAAACUCCACAAAAAUUAACAACU
rnacentral:lncRNA from 1 species